AAUAGAUACCCGGGUAGUCCUAGCCGUAAACGAUACUCGCUAGGUGUCGGCCACGGUGCGACCGUUGUCGGUGCCGUAGGGAAGCCGUGAAGCGAGCCACCUGGGGAAGUACGGCCGCAAGGCUGAAACUUAAAGGAAUUGGCGGGGGGAGCACCACAACGGGUGGAGCUUGCGGUUUAAUUGGAUUCAACGCCGGAAAUCUUACCGGGACCGACAGCAACAUGAAGGCCAGGCUGAAGACUUUGCCGGAUUAGCUGAGAGGUGGUGCAUGGCCGUCGUCAGUUCGUACUGUGAAGCAUCCUGUUAAGUCAGGCAACGAGCGAGACCCACGCCCACAGUUGCCAGCGUACUCUCUGGAGUGACGGGUACACUGUGGGGACCGCCGCUGCUAAGCGGAGGAAGGAAUGGGCAACGGUAGGUCAGUAUGCCCCGAAUAUCCCGGGCUACACGCGAGCUACAAUGGUUGGUACAAUGGGUAUCUACCCCGGAAAGGGGAUGGAAAUCUCCUAAAGCCAAUUUUAGUUCGGAUUGAGGGCUGCAACUCGCCCUCA
rnacentral:rRNA from 1 species